rfam:Oryza meridionalis cultivar OR44 (W2112) chromosome 4, whole genome shotgun sequence.
UUUAAGUGCAACCAUAAAUUUAUGAGUUCAACUUUAAUCAUCCGUCUUAUUUAAAUUUUAGAUGAUAAAAUAUGAAUACUAUUUUACUCAUUACUUAUGUUUUUAAUUUUUUAAAAAUAUUUUUUAAAUUAGAUGGACGAUCAAAUUUGGACGCGGAAAACUAUGGCUGCACUUGUA